CUUGUCAAAGAGCAUGAGCAGAUGGGAGCGCCGCAUGUUUUCAUUGUACAUGAUCUCCUCCAGGUGAUGCCGUCCACGGAAAUAGUGCAGCAGCCUGCAAAGCGGGGGGGGGGGAGAGGUGAACUAGAAUGAGACUCUCCCUUAAACCACACAAGUUGAACAUCAUACCAUCAAAUCUUGUUUGGCAGAAAUCCUGAGUCUGAAUUUGGUGAAUGAGUAGCUGAGAAGCUAAAUGUUGGUAGACGAAGUAACAAGACCUUGUGGUUCAGACUGAGCAUGUUAGAUGCAUGAAGUGAAAACAUUUGGAGCACCGCCAUAAGUCACAGAAUGGGGAUGAUGCCUGCACAAUUAAGUAGCUGGUAAUCGAAGAACAAAAUGCUUUCUAAAGAUUUAUCUUGGGGCUUGCAAACCAUGGGAUCAUGGAACAAAAUGGGUCGAGGAGGCCAUGAAUUCUCAGGUCCUGCUUCCAACUAUUCAUCUUUUAAAACUUUGGACAUUCUCGCCCACAGUCACCAAAAAAUUUCAGAGACACAUUUUCAGCUCUCAAGCAGGCUUAGCCACAUCUACAUCCCAAGAGGCCUGACUGUGGUGAGAAAAGAUUCUAAACCAAGUUGCAUUCAGAAAGACCAAAAUAAAAUAAUAAAUGUAUUAGCAAUAAAGUCCUGU